AACGAACGCUGGCGGCAGGCUUAACACAUGCAAGUCGAGCGGGCCCUUCGGGGUCAGCGGCGGACGGGUGAGUAACGCGUGGGAACGUGCCCUCUUCUACGGAAUAGCCCAGGGAAACCUGGAUUAAUGCCGUAUACGCCCGAAAGGGGAAAGAUUUAUCGGAGGAGGAUCGGCCCGCGUCGGAUUAGGUAGUUGGUGGGGUAAUGGCCUACCAAGCCGACGAUCCAUAGCUGGUUUGAGAGGAUGAUCAGCCACACUGGGACUGAGACACGGCCCAGACUCCUACGGGAGGCAGCAGUGGGGAAUCUUGGACAAUGGGGGCAACCCUGAUCCAGCCAUGCCGCGUGAACGAUGAAGGCCUUAGGGUUGUAAAGUUCUUUCAGCUGGGAAGAUAAUGACGGUACCAGCAGAAGAAGCCCCGGCUAACUCCGUGCCAGCCGCCGCAGUAA
rnacentral:rRNA from 1 species